rnacentral:rRNA from 1 species
CAAAGGAAUUGACGGGGGCCCGCACAAGCGGAGGAACAUGUGGUUUAAUUCGAGUGAUACGCGAGGAACCUUACCUGGGCUAGAACGCAUUCGGAAUCAGGCCGAAAGGCCUGCGCCAGCGAUGGCCGCUUGCGAGGUGCUGCAUGGUUGUCGUCAGCUCGUGCCGUGAGGUGUCGGGUUAAGUCCCAUAACGAGCGCAACCCCUACUGCUAGUUGCCAGCGGGUCAUGCCGGGGACUCUAGCGGAACUGCCAGCGUAAGCUGCGAGGAAGGUGGGGAUGACGUCAAAUCAGCACGGCCCUUACGUCCAGGGCUACACACGUGUUACAAUGGCCGGUACAGAGGGCAGCCACCCCGCGAGGGGGCGCGAAUCCCGAAAGCCGGUCCCAGUUCGGAUCGGAGUCUGCAACCCGACUCCGUGAAGCUGGAUUCGCUAGUAAUCGCGCAUCAGCCACGGCGCGGUGAAUACGUUCCCGGGCCUU